CUACGGGUUGCUCCAGGCGAGAAAACUUUGCAAUGUGCGAAAGCACGACAAGGUUAAUCCGAGUGGUUUGUGCUAAACGAACCUUUUGACAGUCUUAGAAACACUGUUGAAUAAGGGGUGGGCAAGUUCUGGUGUCAGCCGCCGCGGUAAAACCAGCACCUCAAGUGGUCAGGAUGAUUAUUGGGCCUAAAGCAUCCGUAGCCGGCUCUGUAAGUUUUCGGUUAAAUCUGUACGCUCAACGUACAGGCUGCCGGGAAUACUGCAGAGCUAGGGAGUGGGAGAGGUAGACGGUACUCGGUAGGAAGGGGUAAAAUCCUUUGAUCUAUUGAUGACCACCUGUGGCGAAGGCGGUCUACCAGAACACGUCCGACGGUGAGGGAUGAAAGCUGGGGGAGCAAACCGGAUUAGAUACCCGCGUAGUC
rnacentral:rRNA from 1 species